CUCACCCGAAGAAGAGUCAAUUUCACCUGUUGUAUCUCGACAAAUAGUAGAAUGUAGCUUUUUCAAAAACGUAGUUUUUUGUAAAAACUUUUUGCCAGUAAAGUCGAGUAGAAGUGUCUGAGCUUGAAAGGUGUUUAAGCAAUAAGAAAGUUUGAAGACAUUAUGAAAGCAAACGGUCUGAAACGUUUAAAACUGGUGCUUGCCUAGCUAGUUUAGCAACAUGUUUCCCCUUUUUUUCAAUAGAAAACUUACAUUCUAUAGGAAAACAUUUUAAAAAAUACUGUCUCAAAUGAGGAACAGUCGGUAACAGUUGCUGGGACACAUCAUGCAAAAGUCAUCACCGCUUACCUUGCUGACACGCUGCAGAUAUCUGCUGGAGAAGAACACACGAAGAGACACCCUUUCAUGAGCCGCUGAGGUUGUUUUCCUUGCGGGAAUUCUGCCCACAUUAAAGACUCCCAGAUGGGUGCUGUCCUGGGUAUCAAACCUGUGGCUCUCUGUCAGUCCGGCGCUGCACUUCCUGUUGCUGCCUUGAUUGGGUACCAAAGAGAGGGGGUCUGGUCUGAUGAGCACAGAGGAACCCUGAACCUGGCAUGGAGUCGAGACCCAGCAGCAGCCUGGUGAUGGAGAUCAUGUAAUCCUUGACGAAGGACUGUCCAAAAGGAGUGUAUCCAGCAUGCUGACACUGAACACUUUGCCUGCAGCAAAGGGCAGGCGGAACAUAAACACCAAGUUGGAUCCUCUCUCCCUUUCCUUCUGCAGAUGAUCCUCUUCAUGAGCUCACAGAUACUUCUUCUAUGACAGAACAUGAGCUCAAAUAAAUGAAGCAGUCAAAAGCGACUCACUUGGCCCUCAUCAGGUCCUGGUCUUUGAGGGCGGACCCUUGCAGGUAGAUGACUCUCUGGGCCCAAAGAGGAACAUGCAGGACUCUUCUAACCUGGACAUCCAUCUCUGCUGGACACAGGAUCACCACCUCUCACCUGAAUGGGAAGCACAAUGAGUGCCACAAAAAUCAUGAUGACCACCAGGAGCUGUGAGGGCCAGAUCUGGGGGGUGACAUCGCCGAAGCCCACGGUGGAGAAGGUGACGACACAGAAGUAGAGUGAAUCGAACAAGGUCAGGUUGUUGCCUGCUCGCUCGAGGUGUUGGAUGCCGCAGAUGCUGUUUAUGGAAAAGGGUCACGGGGGUGCUGGAGCCUAUCCCAGCUGUCUUCGGGUGAGAGGCGGGGUACACCCUGGACUGGUCGCCACUAUGAAAAUAUUCCAUUUGGCCCACAGCGGUAGUGGUCUUUCCACCCAGAUGAUCAGCUUCCUGCAUAGUGCAAAGACAACAGGGAGCAAGCGGUAAAACACAUAAAGAUUCGACACCACGGCUGCAGCAUCACCUCAUGGGAAUUUAUAUGCAGCUGGACUAGCCGACAAACUUGCUGAAGACCUACGCCUUUCCAACGUUACUUGGUCGUGUGGAAGAGUCAGAAGAGCAAGCAGCUGGGCUUUUCCUGUCAUCAAAUCGAUUACUUCUCAGCAUGCAACUCAGGUCGUCUCGGAGGAUUCCAUGAAGCAAAACCAGCAGGAACACGACAUUUGAGGAUUGGAAAUUCCCAUUUGCAUUCCCAGCGCCUUGUCGAUGUAUGUAAGUAUGCCACAAGGGAUUGACACAGCACAUCCUAAUGGACAAGUCCAGCUGAGUACAAAGGUGUGAUGUUUUUAAAUCUUGAUUUCAAGUGAUUGAACCCCUGAAACAACAUGCAAACAUCCAACAACUACAGUCAAAAAGUGCCUCAUUUAAUGUGGUUAACUGCUUCCAAGUGAAAUUUCAC